rnacentral:rRNA from 1 species
GACGAACGCUGGCGGCGUGCCUAAUACAUGCAAGUCGAACGCUCAGGCGAGGAGCUUGCUCUUCUUGGGUGAGUUGCGAACGGGUGAGUAACGCGUAGGUAACCUGCCUGUUAGCGUGGGAUAACUUUUGGAAACGAUAGCUAAUACCGCAUAACAACUGUUGUUGCAUGGCUGCUGUUUAAAAGAUGCAUUUGCAUCACUACCAACUGGACUUGCGUUGGAUUAGCUAGUUGGUGAGGUAACGGCUCACCAAGGCGACGAUACAUAGCCGACCUGAGAGGGGGGUCGGCCACACCGGGACCGAGAAACGGCCCAGACUUCUACGGGGGGCAGCAGGAGGGAAACUUCGGCAAUGGGGGGAACGCUGAACGAGGAACGCCGGGGGAGGUAAGAAGGUUCUCGGAUCGGAAAGAUCCGUUGUAAGGGAAGAAAGGGAGUGAGAGUGGAAAGUGCACAUUGUGACGGUAUCUUAUCAGAAAGCGACGGCUAACUACGUG